AGCAGCCGCGGUAAUUCCAGCUCCAAUAGCGUAUAUUAAAGUUGUUGCAGUUAAAAAGCUCGUAGUUGAAUUUCGGGAUCAAUAUGUUGGUCGUGCCUUGGUACGUACUGGCGUCAUUGGUUUCUACCUCCUGAAGAACCUCGAUGUCAUUAAUUUGGUGUCUUGGGGAAUCAGGACUGUUACUUUGAAAAAAUUAGAGUGUUUAAAGCAAGCUCACGCUUGAAUACAUCAGCAUGGAAUAAUGAAAUAGGACGUUUGAUUCUAUUUUGUUGGUUUCUAGGAUCGACGUAAUGAUUAAUAGGGAUAGUUGGGGGCAUUAGUAUUCAAUUGUCAGAGGUGAAAUUCUUGGAUUUAUUGAAGACUAACUACUGCGAAAGCAUUUGCCAAGGAUGUUUUCAUUAAUCAAGAACGAAAGUUAGGGGAUCGAAGACGAUCAGAUACCGUCGUAGUCUUAACCAUAAACUAUGCCGACUAGGGAUCGGAUGAUGUUAAUUUUUUAAUGACUCAUUCGGCGCCUUAC
rnacentral:misc_RNA from 1 species